GCGGGGGUAGCCAAGCAUGGUCAACGGCGCAGGAGUCACUUGCUUUUGCAGGUUGACGGCGUAACUCAAGAUCUAACCAUGCUUAGGAGACAUCCUGUCCGGCAGCGGUUCGAGGGUUCGAAUCCCUCCCCCCGCACCA
rnacentral:tRNA from 1 species